UAAUCAAAACAGCUACGAAAUUUGGCCAAAAUUAAAGUUAAAUCUCCUUCUCAGUCCAUCCCUCACUCUUAUCUUUCUCUCUCCGUCGAAAGCUUCGAGAAAUCUCAAACCAUUACCAGCUCCUCCGCCAAAAUCAAGUCACUCUCUGUCUCCGAGAUCACACCCCCUCAGCUCUCCAACCUCUCAAUUGUCAAAUCCGCCUCCACCUUCUCCUUCGCCUCCGCCUUCACCAGUGAGCCAUCGGAGGCGGAGCUCCGUAAGUUCGGUGUCUCCGACGAUAUCAGAGCCUUUGUCAAGCGACUCACUUCCGAAUUUUUUGAUUCGGUUCUUCAAAUGCGCACACCGUUUCGAUCGAAUAGUCGACUCUCUAAUCCUUGAUGCUCUGCACUUCGCUCCUCGCAGCUCAUCGUUUGAUCUGAUUCUUGUUAAUUGGAGUAGAUGGCGUAGGAUUUGAUUAAAUUUGCGAUCACCAGGGAUUUUAAAACAGUGAUCAAGAGUUUGUCUGUGAUGGCAAAGACGACUCUUCCAGUGGUGAGGAAAACACAGAGACCCAGCAAAGCUUCGUAGAGAGGAAGCAUCAGUUUCCUGGAAUGGAGUUGAUCGUUCGAGAAUUUUCAUUUCAUCAGCUGAAUGCCAAUUUACUCUGGCCGGGGACAUUUGCAUUUGCAGAAUGGUUAAUUCAAAACAGGCCAUUGAUUGAGGGACGACAUUGUAUUGAACUGGCCAGGUAUUUCUCAAAGCUUUGACAUCCAUUUGUUAGUGGAAUCAUCCACUCCUGGCCAGGCAUAGAAAAUAAUACUUGAAUGCAUUAUUUUUUUCUCUUGCUUUGACCUCGGGGCUCCCAAGUAAUAAUCGCAUUAUGUUAAUACUAUCUUUUUAAAUAUAUGGUAUACCUUCCUUUUGUUGUUUGUAAGAUGAAGUUUUGUUUACCUGCCGGUAGUUCGACUGAUUUCUCAGGAAAACCUUUGCAAAGAUGUAUGCAAUGUCUUCUCAUGAACCCUUGAUACAGAGUGUAACAUUACUGUUUUCUGUUUUCUACUUCUUUGUCUGUGAUGGCGUAGAUGGCCCCUGUGUUCGCAAAUUCAAUCAAGGUACAAGAAUUUUUGUACUUCAUUUAUGAGUUAACUGAUGGUCUUGUAUACAGUUCAGAUCUUAAUUAGAAGAUUAGAUGACUGCAAAAUUGGAGCUCCAUAAUCUUUUAAAGGAGAGCUCCAACUUCAAUGGGGAAACAAGAGGCAUCCGUAAGUGUUGAAUUUAUCAUGAAGAUCCAAGUAAAGCUGUUCUUUUAAGACACAAGAUGUAUUUGAAGUGGAAUGUGGCAAUGUGCAGUGAACGGUUGAGGCAAUCCACCCCAAUGGCUUUACACUACCACUUUAGGUUCAUUUUAUUUGUAUUGGUUUUGCUAUAAGCUUCAUUUGUUAUUGCUUCCACAACAUUUGUUUGUAUACUGCUCAAUUUUUUAUACAAGUGAAUGUUCUCUUAUGAAAUUGCAACAA